GAUGAACGCUGGCGGCGUGCCUAAUACAUGCAAGUCGAGCGAACGGACGAGAAGCUUGCUUCUCUGAUGUUAGCGGCGGACGGGUGAGUAACACGUGGAUAACCUACCUAUAAGACUGGGAUAACUUCGGGAAACCGGAGCUAAUACCGGAUAAUAUUUUGAACCGCAUGGUUCAAAAGUGAAAGACGGUCUUGCUGUCACUUAUAGAUGGAUCCGCGCUGCAUUAGCUAGUUGGUAAGGUAACGGCUUACCAAGGCAACGAUGCAUAGCCGACCUGAGAGGGUGAACGGCCACACUGGAACUGAGACACGGUCCAGACUCCUACGGGAAGCAACAGUAGGGAAUCUUCCGCAAUGGGCGAAAGCCUGACGGAGCAACGCCGCGUGAGUGAUGAAGGUCUUCGGAUCGUAAAACUCUGUUAUUAGGGAAGAACAAAUGUGUAAGUAACUGUGCACAUCUUGACGGUACCUAAUCAGAAAGCCACGGCUAACUACGUG
rnacentral:rRNA from 1 species